UACGUAGGGUGCAAGCGUUAAUCGGAAUUACUGGGCGUAAAGCGUGCGUAGGCGGCUAUGUAAGACAGAUGUGAAAUCCCUGGGCUUAACCUAGGAACUGCAUUUGUGACUGCAUUGCUAGAGUGUGGUAGAGGGAGAUGGAAAUUCCGCAUGUAGCAGUGAAAUGCGUAGAUAGUGACGGAGGAACACCAAGUGGCGAAGGCAAUCUCCUGGACCUGCACUGACGCCUCAUGACACGAAAGCGUGGGGAGCAAACAGG
rnacentral:rRNA from 1 species